rnacentral:rRNA from 1 species
GUGGGGAAUAUUGGACAAUGGGCGAAAGCCUGAUCCAGCCAUGCCGCGUGUGUGAAGAAGGUCUUCGGAUUGUAAAGCACUUUAAGUUGGGAGGAAGGGCAGUAAGUUAAUACCUUGCUGUUUUGACGUUACCGACAGAAUAAGCACCGGCUAACUUCGUGCCAGCAGUCGCGGUAAUACGAAGGGUGCAAGCGUUAAUCGGAAUUACUGGGCGUAAAGCGCGCGUAGGUGGUUUUGUAAGUUGGAGGUGAAAUCCCCGGGCUCAACCUGGGAACUGCCUCCAAAACUGCAUGACUAGAGUACGGUAGAGGGUAGUGGAAUUUCCUGUGUAGCGGUGAAAUGCGUAGAUAUAGGAAGGAACACCAGUGGCGAAGGCGACUACCUGGACUGAUACUGACACUGAGGUGCGAAAGCGUGGGGAGCAAACAGGAUUAGAUACCCUAGUAGUCC